GAUGAACGCUGGCGGCGUGCCUAAUACAUGCAAGUCGAGCGAACAGACGAGGAGCUUGCUCCUUCGACGUUAGCGGCGGACGGGUGAGUAACACGUAGGUAACCUACCUAUAAGACUGGGAUAACUUCGGGAAACCGGAGCUAAUACCGGAUAAUAUUUCGAACCGCAUGGUUCGAUAGUGAAAGAUGGCUUUGCUAUCACUUAUAGAUGGACCUGCGCCGUAUUAGCUAGUUGGUAAGGUAACGGCUUACCAAGGCAACGAUACGUAGCCGACCUGAGAGGGUGAUCGGCCACACUGGAACUGAGACACGGUCCAGACUCCUACGGGAGGCAGCAGUGGGGAAUCUUCCGCAAUGGGCGAAAGCCUGACGGAGCAACGCCGCGUGAGUGAUGAAGGUCUUCGGAUCGUAAAACUCUGUUAUUAGGGAAGAACAAACGUGUAAGUAACUGUGCACGUCUUGACGGUACCUAAUCAGAAAGCCACGGCUAACUACGUG
rnacentral:rRNA from 1 species